rnacentral:lncRNA from 1 species
GAAAUUACCUGCAAAUGUCGAUUUCAAGAUAAUAUGAUUUCAAAAUAAAGGCAAUUCCAAAUCGAUUAAAAAUGUUGUAUAUACCAUCUCACUAAACAUAAUUAAAUACAACACUACAUCAAAAGACGGCUUUAAUAUCACAUUAACUUCAACACGUUUUGGCGAGUAAAUAACAAACUCAGCUACUUCCGGUACAGCAAUACUAUUGGAUUUGGAAUGGAUUCUUAAUAUCAGGU